rnacentral:rRNA from 1 species
AGCCCUGGAAACGGGGUCUAAUACCGGAUACGACACACGACCGCAUGGUCUGUGUGUGGAAAGCUCCGGCGGUGAAGGAUGAGCCCGCGGCCUAUCAGCUUGUUGGUGGGGUGAUGGCCUACCAAGGCGACGACGGGUAGCCGGCCUGAGAGGGCGACCGGCCACACUGGGACUGAGACACGGCCCAGACUCCUACGGGAGGCAGCAGUGGGGAAUAUUGCACAAUGGGCGAAAGCCUGAUGCAGCGACGCCGCGUGAGGGAUGACGGCCUUCGGGUUGUAAACCUCUUUCAGCAGGGAAGAAGCGAAAGUGACGGUACCUGCAGAAGAAGCGCCGGCUAACUACGUGCCAGCAGCCGCGGUAAUACGUAGGGCGCAAGCGUUGUCCGGAAUUAUUGGGCGUAAAGAGCUCGUAGGCGGCUUGUCACGUCGGAUGUGAAAGCCCGGGGCUUAACCCCGGGUCUGCAUUCGAUACGGGCAGGCUAGAGUUCGGUAGGGGAGAUCGGAAUUCCUGGUGUAGCGGUGAAAUGCGCAGAUAUCAGGAGGAACACCGGUGGCGAAGGCGGAUCUCUGGGCCGAUACUGACGCUGAGGAGCGAAAGCGUGGGGAGCGAACAGGAUUAGAUACCCUGGUAGUCCACGCCGUAAACGUUGGGAACUAGGUGUGGGCGACAUUCCACGUCGUCCGUGCCGCANCUAACGCAUUAAGUUCCCCGCCUGGGGAGUACGGCCGCAAGGCUAAAACUCAAAAGGAAUUGA